CUAACUCCGUGCCAGCAGCCGCGGUAAUACGGAGGGUGCGAGCGAACCUCGGAAUUACUGGGCGUAAAGCGCAUGCAGGUGGUUUGUUAAGUCAGAUGUGAAAGCCCGGGGCUCAACCUCGGAAUUGCAUUUGAAACUGGCAGACUAGAGUACUGUAGAGGGGCUUAGAAUUUCAGGUGUAGCGGUGAAAUGCGUAGAGAUCUUCCGGAAUACCGGUGGCGAAGGCGGCCCCCUGGACAGAUACUGACACUCAGAUGCGAAAGCGUGGGGAGCAAACAGGAUUAGAUACCCUGGUAGUCCACGCCGUAAACGAUGUCUACUUGGAGGUUGUGGCCUUGAGCCGUGGCUUUCGGAGCUAACGCGUUAAGUAGACCGCCUGGGGAGUACGGUCGCAAGAUUAAAACUCGGGUGAAUUGACGG
rnacentral:rRNA from 1 species